UGCCAGCCGCCGCGGUAAUACAGAAGCCUCAAGCGUUACCCGGAUUCACUGGGCGUAAAGGGUUCGUAGGCGGUUAUAUUAGUCGGGUGUUAAAUCCUGGGGCUCAACCUCAGGCUCGCAUUCGAAACGGUAUAACUAGAAGAAGUGAGAGGUGAACAGAACUCAUGGUGUAGGGGUGAAAUCCGUUGAUAUCAUGGGGAAUACCAAAUGCGAAGGCAGUUCACUGGCACUUUCUUGACGCUGAGGAACGAAAGCUAGGGUAGCGAACGGGAUUAGAUA
rnacentral:rRNA from 1 species